UCACGAUAAUAGCAAACUUAUUGAAAAGUAAGGACGCAAAGCCACGGGCCUAAAGUAUGAUUAUGCUAAGGUAGCCGGGUUGCCGAA
rnacentral:ncRNA from 1 species